AAUUAAUGUACAUUUUUGCUUUUUUUCCCCAAUUUUAUAAACAUGUGUGUUUGUGUCGCGUAGAUGGCUGGCGGUCGCGCAGUGUAACAGAAGGUCUGAGGAAUGGUGAUGCAAACAGUUCGUCUCUGGCAGCAAAAGGCUUCCGCAGCGUCCGACCCAACCUGCAGGACAAGAAAUCACCCGUCCUGCGCAACUCCUCCCCACCAACAACAAGGGGAGCUGCCUCGGUUUCUGGGCCUCCAUCGCCUGACCCAUCGGCGCGGCGAUCACCCUACGGCCGAGCCAGCCAGGACUCACCUGACUUCCUGUCCGGGCUUCUGCCCAAGGCACUUUCCCCGACGCCCUACGCCUCCCCGGAACGCUCCGGGCUCACGUCAUCUCCCAUAGCGUCACCAAUAACGGUGUCGGCACUGAGCCACUACUCCUCGUCAACCGCCGUCCUGGAGGAGCUACAGAUCUGCGACUUGGACUCGCUUGCGUCCACUCCUACCCCUUCUCCCACGCUCAGCCACGCCUCUGUUGCCCCUGAUGAUGGCCCCGCCCUCACUACCCAAUCAGCAGCUGCAGAUUUUAACGUAACUAUCGUAACUUUCACGCAGCCCCACCCCCCCUGA
rnacentral:lncRNA from 1 species